GAUGAAGAACGUAGCGAAAUGCGAUAAGUAAUGUGAAUUGCAGAAUUCAGUGAAUCAUCGAAUCUUUGAACGCACAUUGCGCCCGCCAGUAUUCUGGCGGGCAUGCCUGUUCGAGCGUCAUUACAACCCUCAGGCCCCCGGGCCUGGCGUUGGGGAUCGGCGGAGCCCCCCGUGGGCACACGCCGUCCCCCAAAUGCAGUGGCGGUCCCGCCGCAGCUUCCAUCGCGUAGUAGCUAACACCUCGCGACUGGAGAGCGGCGCGGCCACGCCGUAAAACACCCAACUCUUCUGAAGUUGACCUCGAAUCAGGUAGGAAUACCCGCUGAACUUAAGCAUAUAAUAAGCGGAGGA
rnacentral:misc_RNA from 1 species